GCUUUCAGAGAGCAUGAAGGUCACUUCGUUCGCUGCCACGCCCGUCUUCAUGAAAAGAGCGCGGUGGAAGUAAACGACGAACUUGUUUGUGCCCAUCAAGUUUAGGCCUUGGUUGCAUCGAUCCGUGCAGAUUUCACUAUGACAGUGCAACUGGAAUAUGUGCACCAGGUGGACAGGUGCAUAAUUGCAACAGGUUUGCAACACUUCAACUAUGCCAAGAAUUGUGCCAAAAUGCCCCCCGACGACGUGGUUGAUGCCACCGAUUCUUAUUCAAUUGAGUAUGUAUCACAAUAAAGUAGCCUAUAUCAAA